CGGCGCUCCAGGGUCCUCAGCUUGACGUUGAAGCCCACGCCCUCCUGGGCAGGUGGGGGGAGAAGCAGCAGAUUCUCUGUGAUGCACGCGGUGGGGCCGUGCCAGGGCCUGGAACCUGUGGCAGAGCACGCGGCCCUGGGAGAAGUCUGACAUGUUCAACAUCAGAGUCCGGACAGAAGAGCCACACGGAGUCUGAAAACUUGGCCUCUUAUUCAAAUGUCGGGAACACGGAGCCUGGACGCGAGGCCUCACAGCACCGGGGAACGCUCGUCGGUCCGGGCCCCGAGAGCCCCCUCCUCAGCUCGCCCCCCAUCUUCCCUCUGACUCGGGUGUGGGGCUAGGAAGACACGAAUCUAAAAGCAUGAGGCCCCAGCGAGGGAAGGAACCACAGACGU